AUUGAACGCUGGCGGCAGGCCUAACACAUGCAAGUCGAGCGGAGCGGCGGACGGGUGAGUAAUGCCUAGGAAUCUGCCUGGUAGUGGGGGAUAACGUCCGGAAACGGGCGCUAAUACCGCAUCCUAUCAGAUGAGCCUAGGGCGGAUUGGCUGGUUGGUGGGGUAAGGGGCUACCAGGGCGACGAUCCGUAACUGGUCUGAGCGGAUGAUCAGUCACACGGGAACUGUGCCACGGUCCAGAGUCCUACGGGAGGAAGCAGUGGGGAAGAGGGGACGAUGGGCGAAAGCCUGAUACAGCCAUGCCGCGUGUGUGAAGAAGGUCUUCGGAUUGUAAAGCUCUUUAAGUUGGGAGGCGUUACCAACAGAAUAAGCACCGGCUAACUUCGUGCCAGCAGCCGCGGUAAUUC
rnacentral:rRNA from 1 species